GUUACGUUUGGUUCUGGUGGCCAUUUUUCUUUGGGAACAAAGCGCGUAAAGAAAUUUAUAAUUAUUUUAUUUAUCCCACGUAAUUUUAAUAAAUUUUAAGUGAAAGAAAUAUAAAAUGUCACAAAGACACACUAGAAUAGAUAUUGGAGUCCAACCGAAUUCCAGAAAAAGAAAAAUUGGUGAUAAUUAUGACGACUUUAAGCGCAAAAAUCCAGCAGAUUCCAAAGUCCAGAAUAAGGAUGAUUUUAAGAAGCAAAAUAAAGAUGAUAAAAAAAUGGUAAAGGAUGAAAAAGAUUUAAAGAAGACUGUGGAUAAAAUUGGAAAAAAUGACAAAGUUAUUCAAAUUCCAACUGCUACUCCUGUAGUAACACCUAUCCAGGUAUUUAAUAAAUUAACAAUUUAGACAUCAUAAAAUUAUAAAACUUAGGGAUAUUGAAUCUAACUACAUUUUAAAAGUUAUGAUAUUGUUUUCACAGAAUAAAUG
rnacentral:lncRNA from 1 species